ACUGACCUUUGGCUUUAUAUCUUGGAAUGUCAAGAUUCUUUAAGUAUUCCCAAGCCUUCUUUUUGGCCUUUUCAAGACUUGGGUAUACACUAUUCUGCUUCUCAGGAAUGAUGUUACAUAAGUUUCUGCUAGACAUUUAAAGGAAUUCUGCCAGCAGUGUGGAAUGCCUGCAACAAGAACCUGCUGAAUGUGAUCUAUGGAGGUAUGCAGGUUACUUUUAAAGGCUUGGGGCCAGAUUCUGAGCUACCUAAGGUAGGUAGUCAAGCAGACAUCUGGUCAGCCUCUGAGACUGGUAUGUUGUGAAAGACCUGAAAUAUGAACAUCAAUUUGGGGCUAUAAGAUGUGCUUCUAAUUGCUAGAAAAUAUAGGGUAUUGAUUCUUUUUCCUUACAUCUUGAGAGGCACUGUUUAAGCUUAGCAUCUGCUCUGGUUGGUGUUUUUUUUGGUGGUGUGUUGUUUGUGAGUUUGUUUUGUUGAGGGGAGGGUUGUUUCUGUUGUUUUUUUCCAUGGGUAGUUGAGUUGGGAUACUGCUGCCUUUAGCCUAGACCAAGAUCAUUCUUGAUGAUAAACAAUUAUGAUUGUGUCUGCCUGCACAUACAUUGUCUGUCUUAGGUGCUAAUUUAAUUUAGAAUGUGAUGUUUUUUCCACCUACCUUUGCUCCUGCAGGUCACUUGGCUAAAAAAAAUGGUGCAUUUUGGCAUAUAACAAAAUGUAAGGGAGAGGGCAAUCAUUAAUUCAGCUCAGCAAGAAUAGACAUAGCUGAAGACCAUAAUCAUGUGGCUUUUCCUCCUGUAAUGUUUGCAAAUAAAUGUGUAAACAAAA